UAAAUUAGAGGAAAAAAAAUAAGAGACCCGUUAUCUGACUUAACGGGACUCUAGUGCAUAAAUGAGAUCAUUUAAUUGCGGCACAAAAUUAAAAAAAAACACAACAGACCCUUUAGGUUAGUUAACGGGUCUCUUAUGUAUCAAGGGACCCACCAUUCUUUUAUAAAAUAAUAUAAAAUUAAAUAUAAAAAUAACAAAAGACCUGUCAUUAACAUAACAGGUCUCUCUAUUUUCAUUCAUUUCCUAGCGCUGAACUUUCGCAUAACCCAAUUUCACCCUAGCUAUUUUGUCUUUUCCCUUUUCUUCUUCUUCCCUGGACAUACAGGCGAGUAGGGCAAGGAAAUCAUUCGCGAAAUCAUCACAAACUCACCACCACCGGCGAAUCUACCACCGAAGAAAUACUUUACGGUCGACGACUUCAUUACCACCGGCGACCUCAACACAAUCUCUAGCGAACUACAAAUUUAGGUGAAUCAUUCAAUUACCGAGCAAAGUAAGAAGAAAUAUAUACUUGCCCCAAUCCGUCAAGAAGGGGAAGAGUUUAUCUUCGAUUCCAUGGCCGAUAGGUAGUUAGACAAUUUGCAUAACAAAGGCUCCUUGUCUGUGCUUGGCUGGCAUUUAGGAAGUACUUCGUAACUAAUAUGCCAUCUGAUUUGACUCCGAUUUAUAAGCCCAUAUACAAAGUUUGUAAUAGUGUUCCUCAGCAGAUCCUAAACCUGGCACAUAAUAAGAAUGAGAUACAUAUAAGAGUUUGUUCUCAUUGACAAGUUCACAAAACGAGUUUAGCAUUUGCAUGCUGUAGCAUUCCAGGAAGUUAGAGAUGGGACGAAGGUUAACUACGAGGAUGCAUGGACAUUAAUUUGUGUCAUUCCACAC